rnacentral:rRNA from 1 species
UACGUAGGGUGCAAGCGUUGUCCGGAAUUAUUGGGCGUAAAGAGCUCGUAGGCGGUCUGUCGCGUCGGAUGUGAAAAUCCAGGGCUCAACCCUGGACCUGCAUUCGAUACGGGCAGACUAGAGUUCGGUAGGGGAGACUGGAAUUCCUGGUGUAGCGGUGAAAUGCGCAGAUAUCAGGAGGAACACCGGUGGCGAAGGCGGGUCUCUGGGCCGAAACUGACGCUGAGGAGCGAAAGCGUGGGGAGCGAACAGG